UCUAAGGAGUCAUUUGACUCUACAGAAAAUCUCGGGCUAAGGGCCACCUCUUCAAUACAUCCUUGCACUAAUAUGAUGUGGGUUCAGACGGCGACGUUCCAAGGGGAGCGCUCGAAUCGAAUACGGGCCCUGGUCGCUUCAGACUCAGCUGGGCCUGUAGCUCAGUUGGUUAGAGCACGCGCUUGAUAAGCGCGGGGUCGAUAGUUCAACUCUAUCCAGGCCCACCACUGAGUCCUGAUCUAUUUUGUGGAGUAGGCAGAGAUUCAGCAGCCGCCCUAACCAUCGAAUACGGGGCUGUAGCUCAGUUGGGAGAGCACCUGCUUUGCAAGCAGGGGGUCGCUGGUUCGAUUCCAGUCAGCUCCACCAAACCGCGCUGUACGUAUCGUUUACCUCAUCAAUCAGCUUUCUAGAAACGACAGGAAGCUGACAGUUUUGGUUGCAAUUCGAUUGCUCAUCGUCCUCUACACAGUUCGCUGUUGACAACCGUCAUCAGCGUCGUUCUUUGACAACUGAAUAGGUCUUGAAGAAAGACCAUGUGUAUCAGGAGCAAAGUGAUUGUUAAGCUACUAAGGGUGUACGGUGAAUGCCCUGGCAUCAGCAGGCGAUGAAGGACGUAGCUAGCUGCGAUAAGCCUCGGGAAGCCGCAAGCAGGCCGUGAUCCGAGGAUCU
rnacentral:misc_RNA from 1 species